rnacentral:rRNA from 1 species
UGCCAGCAGCCGCGGUAAUACGGAGGGUCCAAGCGUUAAUCGGAAUUACUGGGCGUAAAGCGCGCGUAGGCGGCUUGACAAGUUGGGUGUGAAAUCCCCGGGCUUAACCUGGGAACUGCAUUCAAAACUUAUAAGCUAGAGUACGGGAGAGGAGAGUAGAAUUCAUGGUGUAGCGGUGAAAUGCGUAGAUAUCAUGAGGAAUACCAAUGGCGAAGGCAACUCUCUGGACCGUAACUGACGCUGAGGUGCGAAAGCGUGGGUAGCAAACAGGAUUAGAUA